UAAGCAAUGAACACAAACUUUUGGACUGCGUAGUCAACCUAAUGUAUUUUUAAAAGUAAUGUUUAGGCAGAUAAUACAAAUUAUAAGAUCUAUGGUAUUGUUUAAAUGUUAUUUGUUUAUAGACUAUAUACAGAUGUCCAGUUGUCCCUUUGCUGUUUUAUAUGUUGUAUUUUAUUGAGUUUUUAUUUCUUUUUGAAUUCGGUUCAGAGACAAAAAAAGGUUGGAAAGGAGAGGGUCCUCACUCAGCUGAAGGAUACACUGAGGAAACCACUCCACUCUGAUCCACGCAGAACCAACCCGUUACAUAGUGAGGAGGAAGUUCAAGCCGAAACCGUGGACACAAAUGUGGAUUUGUUCGAUUACCCAGAGAAUUUUCAACCAACCGAUACCUUAGAUGCUGCUGAGGCAAGUGGAGAGAGCGUGGAACAGCCAUUAUUUGUCAGUGGUGAAGUGUUGAAAGCUUUGAAAGAAAUUCCCACCUUAGUGCAGUGUGUCAAGGAACUAAUAUCCUCAAUGAACACAGGGAUCGAUACAGCAAGCACAAGCUCAGGGUCCUCCAGCUCAGCCCAAGAGAUGAUUUCUCUGGGCAACAUGGCUGUCCAAGUCAACAAAACCUGCUUUAGGAGAUUGAAUAGGAGCAGAAUGUCCCUGUUCACUCAAGAGUUGGCUGUUUUGUUGUUUGGGAGGGAGGUUCUGGGUUCAUCUAGCCUCACUGGGAAUAGGUCCCAAAAAGAAAGGCUGAACCCAGAAAAAAUGAAUGCACUUAUCGACACUGUCAUAUCUGAGUUUCCGGGCACGUCACAGUCCGAGGUUAGAGC
ensembl:lncRNA